rnacentral:rRNA from 1 species
AUGGAUUGCUUGGCUGCCCUGUUCAACGCCGCGACCGAUUCCGAGGUGCUCAAGCGCAUCGGAACCCAGCGGAUGCCGUUUAGAACUUCUCUAUACACUGAUGAUGCUGUGAUCUUCAUCAACCCUGUGGAUGAAGAAGUGCAGGCAACCAAAAAACUGCUCGACACUUUCGGGAAUGCCACGGGUUUAAGAACCAACUUCAGGAAAAGCUCUGUUACGCCGAUCUGCUGUGGUGACACCUUGCCAGCGGCAAUUCAAGAACUAGGCUGCGACAUCAAGCACUUCCCCUGCACUUAUCUUGGGAUGCCCCUCUCGGACUCGAAACUUCACAGAGUGGAUUUUCAGCCAGCAAUUGACAAACUGAGGAAGAAACUCAAAGGAUGGAUCAUAAUGCAUGUUUCUCUGGAUGGCAGAAUUGUCUUAGUUAAGCAGGUUCUUUCAGCCAUGGUGGUCUAUCAGAUGCUCGUCCUAGAGCUGCCGGUGUGGCUAAGGAAACAAAUUGACAAGUUGCGCCGAGGAUUUCUAUGGGAAGGGAAGGAGUUUGCAAAUGGUGGGAAGUGUUUGGUAAGCUGGAAGGUGGUAUGUCGGCCAACAUGUUUCGGAGGACUAGGAAUCUCAGAUCUUGCAGCACAGAGUACAGCCCUGAGACUACGGUGGAUGUGGAUGCAAUGGACUGACCCAGACAAGGCCUGGAGUGAUUUACCGUUGCCCUCAGAUCCGAAAGUGUUGAACCUCUUUGCGGCAUCAGCUAGAUUCCACCUCGGCAAUGGACAUCGAAUCAGGUUCUGGCUAGACCCAUGGAUGGAUGACUAG